rnacentral:rRNA from 1 species
UACAGAGGGGGGCAAGCGUUUAUUCGGAAUUAUUGGGCGUAAAGGGCGCGUAGGCGGCCACCGCAAGUCGACUGUGAAAUCUCCGGGCUUAACCCGGAAAGGUCAGCCGAUACUGCGGGGCUAAAGUGCAGAAGGGGCAACUGGAAUUCUCGGUGUAGCGGUGAAAUGCGUAGAUAUCGAGAGGAACACCUGCGGCGAAGGCGGGUUGCUGGGCUGACACUGACGCUGAGGCGCGAAAGCUAGGGGGAGCGAACGGGG